rnacentral:lncRNA from 13 species
GUGCGGCCGGCCCUCUCUGAUUGGCUGUCGCGUCAAGGUUCCACGCUGCGAUUGUGCCGUGGGCGGCAGUAGGCGCCUGCGGUGCGCAAAGUGGGGAACCGGCGUUGGGAGUUGCUGGAAGUCGGAGGCGGGGGAGCGGUCACUAGCAGUGAGCGCGGGCAGCGGCUGGGCGCAAAGGAGAGAGCAGUCCCUAGUCUAAGCCUUUCCGUCGUCCUCCGGCACCGCCAGUACCACGGACUCCACCCUGCCGCGGCCCCUCGGUGAUGCGGUGCAGCUGCCACUCGACCAGGAGCUUUCCCAGUGGGUUUUGAACCUGCUCCUCCUCAGUCCAUCCAGCCAACCAGGCCAUGUAGAAGCCGGCUGCAGGGUGGGUGUGGCCCACUGCUCAUCAUUUACCACCGCCGAGCCAUACCUUAGGUGCCAAAUGCUUGAGAUGGAACAUUGCUGA